rnacentral:rRNA from 1 species
UACAUGGGGUGCAACCGUUGCUCGGAAUUAUUGGGCGUAAAGCGCGCGUAGGCGGUUACUUAAGUCGGAUGUGAAAGCCCUCGGCUUAACUGAGGAAGUGCAUCCGAAACUGAGUAGCUAGAGUACGAAAGAGGGUCGCGGAAUUCCCGGUGUAGAGGUGAAAUUCGUAGAUAUCGGGAGGAACACCGGUGGCGAAGGCGGCGACCUGGGUCGAGACUGACGCUGAUGCGCGAAGGCGUGGGGAGCAAACAGG